rnacentral:rRNA from 1 species
ACGCUUCCAUCGGGACGCAAUUCUAUAUGCGAUCCUGAACGAUGAAACACAUGCAAGUCGAACGCGAAAGUCCUUCGGGAUGAGUAGAGUGGCGGACGGGUGAGUAACGCGUAGGAAUCUGUCCGGUAGUGGGGGAUAACGUUCCGAAAGGAACGCUAAUACCGCAUACGCCCUACGGGGGAAAGGGGGGGAUCUUCGGACCUUCUGCUAUCGGGGGAGCCUGCGUCGGAUUAGCUAGUUGGUAGGGUAAAGGCCUACCAAGGCGACGAUCCGUAGCUGGUCUGAGAGGAUGAUCAGCCACAUCGGAACUGAGACACGGUCCGGACUCCUACGGGAGGCAGCAGUGGGGAAUAUUGCGCAAUGGGCGAAAGCCUGACGCAGCCAUGCCGCGUGUGUGAAGAAGGCCUUCGGGUUGUAAAGCACUUUUAGUGGGGAGGAAAGGGCGCUGGCUAAUAUCCAGCGCAGUUGACGCUACCCACAGAAAAAGCACCGGCUAAUUCCGUGCCAGCAGCCGCGGUAAUACGGAAGGUGCAAGCGUUAAUCGGAAUUACUGGGCGUAAAGCGCGCGUAGGCGGCUUGGUAAGUCGGAUGUGAAAGCCCCGGGCUCAACCUGGGAACUGCAUUCGAUACUGCUGGGCUGGAGUACGAGAGAGGGGGGUGGAAUUCCAGGUGUAGCGGUGAAAUGCGUAGAGAUCUGGAGGAACAUCGGUGGCGAAGGCGGCCCCCUGGCUCGAUACUGACGCUGAGGUGCGAAAGCGUGGGGAGCAAACAGGAUUAGAUACCCUGGUAGUCCACGCUGUAAACGAUGUCUGCUAGCCGUUGGGAUCCUUGAGGUCUCGGUGGCGCAGCUAACGCGAUAAGCAGACCGCCUGGGGAGUACGGCCGCAAAGGUUGAAACUCGAAGGUAUCGUGACUGGGAAACAGAUCGGAAGAGCACACGUCUGAACUCCAGUCACCGGCUAUGAUCUCGUAUGCCGUCUUCUGCUUGAAAAAAAAAAAA